rnacentral:misc_RNA from 1 species
AGAAUCCUUAGCUUCACCUUCCCACGAAAGGGAAACAUUAAGUUCAUAUCCAGGAAUGAUUUUACCCUUGCGAACAUUAACGUAGGCCUCACCGUCGACCUUCUCGAGCUUCUUGAUCUUGAUGAAAAGGUUUCCUUCGCCGUCAAGAAUAACGAGAUUAGAAAGAAGCUUAGAGAGGAGAUUCCGCGACCAUUCCAAACAAUUGGUCUCUGCCCAAUGCCAAUUAUGGACAUUGGCACCAUCUGGUCUUUCCUCUACGAUCCAGCGCUUAUCGCCUUCUCCGUACUUGGCCAUGUAAGAGCGGAAUCUAGAAAUUUGAAAUGGUCGAUUGAGAGAUAAAGAUUGUAUCUUGGGAUCAAGAGACUCGAAAACAGAUUGAUAGAGAGGAGAAGGAAAGAAAUAUAAGAAGGGGAGUCUGGAGCGUUCGGCCAAACCUAGAAGGAUCUAGAAAUUUUCCUUUUAUUUCUUUAGUCAAACAGAUUUGGUACAAAAGGACAUAGGUUCUUGGAAGGAUCUAGAACAGUGAGUUUGAUUAGGGUUUUGUGG